rnacentral:rRNA from 1 species
GGUUAAGCGACUAAGCGUACACGGUGGAUGCCCUGGCAGUCAGAGGCGAUGAAGGACGUGCUAAUCUGCGAUAAGCGUCGGUAAGGUGAUAUGAACCGUUAUAACCGGCGAUUUCCGAAUGGGGAAACCCAGUGUGUUUCGACACACUAUCAUUAACUGAAUCCAUAGGUUAAUGAGGCGAACCGGGGGAACUGAAACAUCUAAGUACCCCGAGGAAAAGAAAUCAACCGAGAUUCCCCCAGUAGCGGCGAGCGAACGGGGAGCAGCCCAGAGCCUGAAUCAGUGUGUGUGUUAGUGGAAGCGUCUGGAAAGGCGCGCGAUACAGGGUGACAGCCCCGUACACAAAAAUGCACAUACUGUGAGCUCGAUGAGUAGGGCGGGACACGUGGUAUCCUGUCUGAAUAUGGGGGGACCAUCCUCCAAGGCUAAAUACUCCUGACUGACCGAUAGUGAACCAGUACCGUGAGGGAAAGGCGAAAAGAACCCCGGCGAGGGGAGUGAAAAAGAACCUGAAACCGUGUACGUACAAGCAGUGGGAGCCUCUUAAUGGGGUGACUGCGUACCUUUUGUAUAAUGGGUCAGCGACUUAUAUUCUGUAGCAAGGUUAACCGAAUAGGGGAGCCGAAGGGAAACCGAGUCUUAACUGGGCGUUAAGUUGCAGGGUAUAGACCCGAAACCCGGUGAUCUAGCCAUGGGCAGGUUGAAGGUUGGGUAACACUAACUGGAGGACCGAACCGACUAAUGUUGAAAAAUUAGCGGAUGACUUGUGGCUGGGGGUGAAAGGCCAAUCAAACCGGGAGAUAGCUGGUUCUCCCCGAAAGCUAUUUAGGUAGCGCCUCGUGAAUUCAUCUCCGGGGGUAGAGCACUGUUUCGGCAAGGGGGUCAUCCCGACUUACCAACCCGAUGCAAACUGCGAAUACCGGAGAAUGUUAUCACGGGAGACACACGGCGGGUGCUAACGUCCGUCGUGAAGAGGGAAACAACCCAGACCGCCAGCUAAGGUCCCAAAGUCAUGGUUAAGUGGGAAACGAUGUGGGAAGGCCCAGACAGCCAGGAUGUUGGCUUAGAAGCAGCCAUCAUUUAAAGAAAGCGUAAUAGCUCACUGGUCGAGUCGGCCUGCGCGGAAGAUGUAACGGGGCUAAACCAUGCACCGAAGCUGCGGCAGCGACGCUUAUGCGUUGUUGGGUAGGGGAGCGUUCUGUAAGCCUGUGAAGGUGUACUGUGAGGUAUGCUGGAGGUAUCAGAAGUGCGAAUGCUGACAUAAGUAACGAUAAAGCGGGUGAAAAGCCCGCUCGCCGGAAGACCAAGGGUUCCUGUCCAACGUUAAUCGGGGCAGGGUGAGUCGACCCCUAAGGCGAGGCCGAAAGGCGUAGUCGAUGGGAAACAGGUUAAUAUUCCUGUACUUGGUGUUACUGCGAAGGGGGGACGGAGAAGGCUAUGUUGGCCGGGCGACGGUUGUCCCGGUUUAAGCGUGUAGGCUGGUUUUCCAGGCAAAUCCGGAAAAUCAAGGCUGAGGCGUGAUGACGAGGCACUACGGUGCUGAAGCAACAAAUGCCCUGCUUCCAGGAAAAGCCUCUAAGCAUCAGGUAACAUCAAAUCGUACCCCAAACCGACACAGGUGGUCAGGUAGAGAAUACCAAGGCGCUUGAGAGAACUCGGGUGAAGGAACUAGGCAAAAUGGUGCCGUAACUUCGGGAGAAGGCACGCUGAUAUGUAGGUGAAGUCCCUCGCGGAUGGAGCUGAAAUCAGUCGAAGAUACCAGCUGGCUGCAACUGUUUAUUAAAAACACAGCACUGUGCAAACACGAAAGUGGACGUAUACGGUGUGACGCCUGCCCGGUGCCGGAAGGUUAAUUGAUGGGGUUAGCGGUAACGCGAAGCUCUUGAUCGAAGCCCCGGUAAACGGCGGCCGUAACUAUAACGGUCCUAAGGUAGCGAAAUUCCUUGUCGGGUAAGUUCCGACCUGCACGAAUGGCGUAAUGAUGGCCAGGCUGUCUCCACCCGAGACUCAGUGAAAUUGAACUCGCUGUGAAGAUGCAGUGUACCCGCGGCAAGACGGAAAGACCCCGUGAACCUUUACUAUAGCUUGACACUGAACAUUGAGCCUUGAUGUGUAGGAUAGGUGGGAGGCUUUGAAGUGUGGACGCCAGUCUGCAUGGAGCCGGCCUUGAAAUACCACCCUUUAAUGUUUGAUGUUCUAACGUUGGCCCCUGAUCGGGGUUGCGGACAGUGUCUGGUGGGUAGUUUGACUGGGGCGGUCUCCUCCUAAAGAGUAACGGAGGAGCACGAAGGUUGGCUAAUCCUGGUCGGACAUCAGGAGGUUAGUGCAAUGGCAUAAGCCAGCUUGACUGCGAGCGUGACGGCGCGAGCAGGUGCGAAAGCAGGUCAUAGUGAUCCGGUGGUUCUGAAUGGAAGGGCCAUCGCUCAACGGAUAAAAGGUACUCCGGGGAUAACAGGCUGAUACCGCCCAAGAGUUCAUAUCGACGGCGGUGUUUGGCACCUCGAUGUCGGCUCAUCACAUCCUGGGGCUGAAGUAGGUCCCAAGGGUAUGGCUGUUCGCCAUUUAAAGUGGUACGCGAGCUGGGUUUAGAACGUCGUGAGACAGUUCGGUCCCUAUCUGCCGUGGGCGCUGGAGAACUGAGGGGGGCUGCUCCUAGUACGAGAGGACCGGAGUGGACGCAUCACUGGUGUUCGGGUUGUCAUGCCAAUGGCACUGCCCGGUAGCUAAAUGCGGAAGAGAUAAGUGCUGAAAGCAUCUAAGCACGAAACUUGCCCCGAGAUGAGUUCUCCCUGACUCCUUGAGAGUCCUGAAGGAACGUUGAAGACGACGACGUUGAUAGGCCGGGUGUGUAAGCGCAGCGAUGCGUUGAGCUAACCGGUACUAAUGAACCGUGAGGCUUAACCUU